rnacentral:rRNA from 1 species
GACGAACGCUGGCGGCGUGCUUAACACAUGCAAGUCGAACGGAAAGGCCCUGCUUUUGUGGGGUGCUCGAGUGGCGAACGGGUGAGUAACACGUGAGUAACCUGCCCUUGACUUUGGGAUAACUUCUGGAAACUGGGGCUAAUACCGGAUAGGAGCUCCUGAUGCAUGGUGGGGGUUGGAAAGUUUCGGCGGUUGGGGAUGGACUCGCGGCUUAUCAGCUUGUUGGUGGGGUAGUGGCUUACCAAGGCUUUGACGGGUAGCCGGCCUGAGAGGGUGACCGGCCACAUUGGUACUGAGAUACGGCCCAGACUCCUACGGGAGGCAGCAGGGGGGAAUAUUGCACAAUGGGCGGAAGCCUGAUGCAGCAACGCCGCGUGCGGGAUGACGGCCUUCGAGUUGUAAACCGCUUUCUCCUGUGACGAAGCGUGAGUGACGGUAAUGGGUAAAGAAGCACCGGCUAACUACGUG